UACCAGCUCUCCGAGUUGUGGGGAUAUUUAUUGGGCCUAAAGCAUCCGUAGCCGGCUGAGCAAGUCCCCUGUUAAAUCCAGCGACGAAUCGUUGGCCUGCGGGGGAUACUGCUCGGCUAGGGGGCGGGAGAGGCCGUCGGUAUUCUUGGGGUAGGGGUGAAAUCCUAUAAUCCCAGGAGGACCACCAGUGGCGAAGGCUGUCGGCUAGCAACGCGCCCGACGGUGAGGGAUGAAGGCUGGGGGAGCGAACCGGAUUAGAUACCCGGGUAGUCCCAGCUGUAAACGAUGCAGGCUAGGUGUUAGGGCGGCUACGUGCCGCUCUAGUGCCGCAGGGAAGCUGUUAAGCCUGCCGCCUGGGGAGUACGGCCGCAAGGCUGAAACUUAAAGGAAUUGGCGGGGGAGCACCACAAGGGGUGAAGCUUGCGGUUUAAUUGGAGUCAACGCCGGAAAUCUCACCGGGGGCGACAGCAGGAUGAAAGCCAGAUUAAAGGUCUUGCCAGACGAGCUGAGAGGAGGUGCAUGGCCGUCGCCAGUUCGUGCCGUGAGGUGUCCUGUUAAGUCAGGCAACGAUCGAGACCCGCAUCCCCCGUUGCUACCAGCCAUGAGCUGGGCACACUGGGGAGACCGCCGCCGAUAAGGCGGAGGAAGGAGCGGGCCACGGCAGGUCAGUAUGCCCCGAAUCUCCCGGGCCACACGCGAGCUGCAAUGGUAGGUACAAUGGGUUCCGACCUCGAAAGGGGGAGGAAAUCUCUAAAACCUGCCGUAGUUGGGAUCGAGGGUUGAAACCCACCCUCGUGAACAUGGAAUCCCUAGUAAUCGCGCGUCACUAGCGCGCGGUGAAUACGUCCCUGCUCCU
rnacentral:rRNA from 1 species